rnacentral:lncRNA from 1 species
GCGGCGGCACGUGGGACGGAUCUCUUGGAUUUACCCGUAACGAGGAGCGGCGCACCCCAGGAGCCCCGGCAGCACCCCAGGAGCCCCGGCAGCACCCCAGGAGCCCCGGCAGCACCCCAGGAGCCCCGGCAGCACCCCAGGAGCCCCGGCAGCACCCCAGGAGCCCCGGCAGCACCCCAGGAGCCCCGGCAGCACCCCAGGAGCCCCGGCAGCACCCCAGGAGCCCCGGCAGCACCCCAGGAGCCCCGGCAGCACCCCAGGAGCCCCGGCAGCACCCCAGGAGCCCCGGCAGCACCCCAGGAGCCCCGGCAGCACCCCAGGAGCCCCGGCAGCACCCCAGGAGCCCCGGCAGCACCCCUCCCCCGGAGGGGGAUCCCGGCGCGCCACCCUCCCCCGGAGGGGGAUCCCGGCGCGCCACCCUCCCCCGGAGGGGGAUCCCGGCGCGCCACCCUCCCCCGGAGGGGGAUCCCGGCGCGCCACCCUCCCCCGGAGGGGGAUCCCGGCGCGCCACCCUCCCCCGGAGGGGGAUCCCGGCGCGCCACCCUCCCCCGGAGGGGGAUCCCGGCGCGCCACCCUCCCCGGCAACAACCUGUUGCCAUGUAUGGCGAUUUGUAUCAGUCACAAGCACACAACCCCUGCUAGUAUUAAUGGUGUUUAAGACGUUCUACAUGUACGGCGGACCGCAUCCGUCGCAAGCACGCGCAUAUAACCCCCAAAUGCCCCAUGAUGAGAAGCACAGCCACGCGUCAAAAAACUUUAAAAACAUCGUUAUCCAAUAUCAUUAAAAACCACACCGAAAUUUACACAGGUAGCACGUGACCGUGUUAGUGUCACCCACUGUACACAAGGCGUGUCGUAUAUGUAGUAUAGGUAUUUGAUGAGGCGGAAGCAUAUCCCGCUUCCAGCGAACGGAAAUAAGAAUCAUCCGUUCCAGCAUUUAUUCAAAGGGGGCACAGAGGAUUCACAUUGUUUAGAGAGAGUUUUUCUUAGUCACCAUUCCAUACUUGGGCAGUAUUGGCCUACGAUUUGGGCGACGUUUCAGGCUGGUCUAUUCUCCGUCCACUUUUCCCCGGCUAUUCUGUCCCAGCAUAGGCUCUUGAAAUAAACAAUGUUUACCGAGUAAAA